UGAAAAAAGAGGGAAAACAGUAGCUGCCGCUGAUUUAUUUGGUCCCAGACAUUCCAACCCAUAAGCCACUAACUUCAAGAAUGCUUAACAAGGGAGCAAGGCAUCUCUGGCAGAAGAUUCUAUGAUCCACAUGAGACAGAAGUUGGGAAUUCAAGUUUCUACAAGAGCAGGCACCGUGAAUCAAUAACUCCUUCCUCGACACUUUCUGGGGGGAUCAUGCCGGAUCCCCUGACACAGGGUUAGCAUAAGGCGUUCAUCAAGACAGCCAAGGGUGCUUAGCAGAGAGUCAGCACACAUACAAAGAACGGGCAGCUCCAUACGAGCCAAUCGGAAGCAUCCAAGAUAGGUGGC